GAAUACACUUCUAAGAACGCAUCAAAAAUGGCACCUAAAAGCUUCUCGAUGUAUUUGCUUUCCCUCAUUGUUGCAAUAAAUAUUGUUGCAAUAAUGGCCACCCACACCCAUUAUGACCCAAACAAAGUUUAUACCAUUCGUCCCGUGCAUGAUAAAACUGUGGCUCUACAUACUCGUGAUUCAUCACAAGUUCAGUUGCAAAUAUACAGUCACGGAAAAGCUUACUCGCUCUUUCAUAUUCAGCACAGCCGCGAAAAUGGAUUGUUAUUCUACCUAGUUAGUGAACCAACAGGGGAAGUAAUGGACUUUAAUAGAAGAACUAAAUCCGUUAUCAUGAGCUCAAGAAAUGGGUCUCUUAGGCAGUUGUGGUACUUGACACAUGAUAAUCGUAUUGUUAAUGCAGAUACCCACUUGGCUCUUACCCUCAGAUAUCGACAUGUUGAAAAUGGACAUCUUAAAUAUGGAACUCCGCUUAUUGUUUCUCAAAAUAACGGAAGCAUAAACCAGGAAUUUAAAAUAUGGGAAGAUUUACCUUCAUCAACCUAUUAAGGUGUUCGUCAUAUUCUGUCUUAUCCUUGUAUACUUGUAUGUUGUGUGUAUAUGAACUUAACUCUAACCUAGCAAAACAAUGUUACAUAUAUACAGAAUUUAAAAUAUAAAAUAUAAAUAUAAUACAA